rnacentral:lncRNA from 1 species
AUUUUGAAAUUUUAUUAACUGAAUAUUAUCAAUUUAUAUAUAUAUAUAUAUAUAUAUAUAUUACAACCUACAAAUUUGUGGGUUUUAGAAAAGCAUAUUUCAAAAAGCACAUAUAGUUUUUGUUAAAAAAUAGUUUAAUGAGUAUGCAUAAUUAUUCUAAGGAAGCACCAGGCGGACACCCCUCUUUUACUGCAUGGAAACCCCCUAUGCCACACAUCCUUUCAUGCACAAAGUAAAACUCUUAUUUACACCAAAAGGCUUUAGAAUAAAUUUGCAAUAAUAGAUUUGUGUGCAAUGACUCCAGGUUUAUUUUUUCUGAUUAUAUUUGACUAAAUUUGACAAUUUUUUUAAUACACUAAAUAUAAUUCUUUCAUUUUUUCAAAUAUAAUAUUGAAAUAUGAUAUUAAUCUUAUUUAAGAAAUCUUUUAUUGUAAAUUUAGCCUAAUAACAGUUUUAGUGUACAUAUGCAGGAUAUGUGGCAUAGUGGGGGUUUCCACAUAGUAAAAGAGAAAUGCCCACCAAGCAGUUCUUUUAUUAUAGUCAACAUCAUUCUAAGUUUGUAAAUUGAGAAAGUUGAAGGUGAUCAUUUCAAAGUUAAUUUUUUAUCAUAACAAUCUCAUUUUAAAGAUAUCAAGUGAAUAAUGUAUAUUUAUAAUUUAUAUUUUAACUUUUGAUAUACUAAAUUUUAUAAUAAUUAAUAAGGAAAUCAAUUUUAUUUGAUGCAGGUGAGUGUGGCACCUUUGUGAAAAAAUGUGUAAAAUUGUGUUUUUAUUGUAUAUAUAUAUAUAUAUAUAUAUAUGUAUAUAUAAUUAAAAUAAGUCUAGAAUAUCAAAAAGUAUAUUUUGCAAGUGUGCUAGCAAAAAAUUACAAAUCAUCAACGACACUUCUAAUUAGACUGCUACAGUGGCAUGAUUCUACAAAGAAUGUUAUAAAUUUAGAAGAACUUGAUUUUAUUAUGGCUUUUAAAAAUAUAAAAAUUGAAUAUUUUAUUAGAAUUUGGACCAUAAUAAAUUAUUAAUUUGUAAUUAUUUUUAGUAAUUUGGUGUAUUAAUCAACAUGAUACAUAUUUGAGAAGAUUUGAUUUUUAUUUUUAACAAUUAAUGUAUAUCUUAAAAAAGAUGUCAAUUCACUUUAAAAAGAUGCCAAUUCACUUAAUUUAAAUUAUAACAAUGUAAGUUGUGCAUUAUUUUUUAUUUGCAUAUAAGACAUAGUGUUAUAGCAUUUUCAUGCAUUUUACUAUAUAAUCUUCGAAUAUCCAGUUUUAUUUAUUUAUUUAUUAUUAUUUUAUUAUUGUAAUAGAUAUUUAUUAUAUUAUAUUAUGAUUUAUAAUUAUUAAAUUGUAAUAUAUGUAUAAAAAUUUUCACACGUACUUUCAUAUAUAUAUAUAUAUAUACAUAUAUACAUCAUUUAAUCACCAAUAUUUAAAUAUUACUUAAUAUUUUAUGAUCAAAUAAAGAUUUAUUAGACUAACAAAAAUGUUUUGAGAUUCUACUUAUUGUUGGAAACAUGCUAUAAUUUUUUAAAAAAUAAGAUAUUACUUUUCUUUUGUAUAAAUAAUUUCUAAUAACUCUAAAUUUGAUCUACAAUUAUAAGGCAAAAUUUAAAUAUCUUAUAGAUAACCUUGGUUGGAAUAAUAAAGCCUUUAUGACUUGAUUUCUAUAUGGCUUAACAAACAUUAUGAAAAUUUUAUUGAUUACAAUGAUACAAGUCCAUAAUUUGGAAGAACUCAUGUCUUAAGCUAUCACUUGCAAUAACAACUUAUUUGAAUUGCAACAAGAAAAACAAUGGAGUUGUAGUAAUGUUUAUCAAAAUAUAAUUUUUACUCUUUCAAGAAGUAUUUAACAAAUCCUAAAAUUAUGCAAAUCAAUGCAACUUAAUUUAAGCCACUCAUUGAUCAAGAAAAGAAGCAUAAAAGUGAACUUAAUUUAUGUGUGUAUUGUAAAAAACGUGGUUAUAAGAUGGAAAUUGUUUUGAGAAACUCGAGCGCAUAGAGUAGAUAAAAAAUCCAACUACAUCACUAAAUGCUUUGUAGGAAAAUAAAGACUGUUUAGCUAUAGUAGAGGCCAUAUAAUUGGAUACUUCUAUUUUUAAGUCAAAAAAGAUCCUAUACUAUUAGUUAGUUUUUUAGUUUUUUUUUAAUACCUAUUUUUUAGAUAUUCAAAAACUUAUGGUCUAUGCUUUACUACAUUGAAGAUCUUAUGUUUAAUUUUUUGAUGAAGAAUUUUCAAAAAUAAGUUUCCUAAAGUCAAAAAAAACUUAGAUUGUCCAUGUUGAAGUCAUAGAUGGUUGAUCCUUAUCUUUAGGAGAUGUUAUUCAUAAAACCACUCCAUUAGAGGUAACAUCAAAAAAUUAUAGUAGCCAAGUAAUAUUCAAUAUUAUUAACUUUCUAUCCAAUUAUUAGGACUCUCUUAGGUCAAAAGACAUAAUCUGCAUAUAGAUUGGAUAUAUAAUAAAAUAAAAAUUAUAUAGUAGAACCUCUUCCUACUAAACUUGGUAAAGGAUCUCAAACACAUCAUAGAUUCAAGUUCACAAAGCCUUUUUUUUUGGAAUAAGAAUAUCCAUUACUAUUGAUAUUUGGAUUAUUAGAUUAAUUAGAUAAAGCAAAGAUCUACACUAAAAUAGAUCUAUAGGAAGCUUAC